GAUGAACGCUGGCGGCGUGCCUAAUACAUGCAAGUCGAGCGAACAGACGGGGAGCUUGCUCCUUUGACGUUAGCGGCGGACGGGUGAGUAACACGUGGAUAACCUACCUAUAAGACUGGGAUAACUUCGGGAAACCGGAGCUAAUACCGGAUAACAUGUUGAACCGCAUGGUUCAACAGUGAAAGACGGUCUUGCUGUCACUUAUAGAUGGAUCCGCGCCGCAUUAGCUAGUUGGUAAGGUAACGGCUUACCAAGGCAACGAUGCGUAGCCGACCUGAGAGGGUGAUCGGCCACACUGGAACUGAGACACGGUCCAGACUCCUACGGGAGGCAGCAGUAGGGAAUCUUCCGCAAUGGGCGAAAGCCUGACGGAGCAACGCCGCGUGAGUGAAGAAGGUCUUCGGAUCGUAAAACUCUGUUAUUAGGGAAGAACAAAUGUGCAAGUAACUAUGCACGUCUUGACGGUACCUAAUCAGAAAGCCACGGCUAACUACGUG
rnacentral:rRNA from 1 species